AUUGAGCAGAUGGUGUCCAUUCGUGAUCUAAAGCAAAUUAAGCUGGCCUAUGAUGAGUUUGCAAAGGCUGGUAUCUAUAUGCUAGAUUAUGCCGAAUUCCAAUCUGUUGUGAAAAAAUGCCCAGGUUUGAAAUCAGUUGUAAGUAUGAUUGCAACCAUUGCCUUUCUAUGGAGAUAUGAUGAUUUAAUCUGUUUAAUCUGAGAGUUUUAGCUAUUCAGUUAUAUCCUAUUGCUUGCGUAAAUGGAUUAAUGGAGGCCCAAGGCCUAAAAUCUUUUAUCAUGUGAUUGUACAUCUGUUCUUUCUCUCGCUGUCUUUCCACCCAUUUCCUUGGCCUAACACUUUUUGAAAUGAUUGUACAUCUGUUCUUUCUCUCGCUGUCUUCCACCAUUCCUUGGCCUAACACUUUUGAAAUGUCACAGAAAGAUUCUCAAAUCCAACAUCUAUUCAUGAAGAUUGAUUACACUGGCGAUGGCAAAAUCGAGUGGCAUGAGUUCUGCACAUAUGUAUACCUGGAAAACAAAGAGAAAGAAGAGACUGUGCGUCGCAGUAAGAUGGCAGCCUUCGUAUUACCAGCUAUCGUCAAGUCUCUACACCGCGGGGAGCCCGUUCUGAGAAUCCACUUGCCUCCUAAUGGCACCGUUGUGACUCUAAGAGAAGAUGGGGUUGUUAGCUUCUGGACCCCCAAGCUUUAUUGAAGAACAAGAAGAAUGUGUUUGUAGGUUACUUUUACAUUCUGGAUUUUUUUUUCUUUUGUUUUUUACGUAACGUAAUGAGAUCCUGCAUUUUUAAAUUUUAUGUUCCCACUUUUUUAUUUGAAUCAUUUUUCUCUUUCUAUAUGCAGCCUGAGAGAUCCAUUGGCCGAAAACCAAAAUGGGCAACUGAUUUUGUGCCAAUGCCUGACUAUAACAAACUGAUUAUUGGAACAGGAUCCAGAGAGAUUCAGUUUUAUGAGCUUUCCACUUUGGAGCCUUGCUGUCAGUUGAGUGUACUAGAAACUGUGCCUAUAAACCUGGAUUACUGCUCUACUGGCCCAGAUGAAUGUAUCAUUGUAUAUGGUGAUACUCAAGGCUGUGUGAACAUCCUGCUAAUGAAAUCGGUCAGGGAGAAGCUGAGAUUAUGGAAAAGAUUGCCGCAGGUUGACAACAUGCCAAACAUAAGCAUUGACCAUGCAGUUCAAUCUCCAGAAAUAACAUUUAUCAGAUGGAAAUUCCACCAAGACUGGGUGUCAAAGGUGAAAUAUUUUCAAAGCAUACCUGCCAUUGUAUCCUCAUCAAUGCAUGAAGACUCUGCCCUUGUUAUAGGAAGCAUUCAUCCAUCAACCUACAUGCAAGAGCAGAUGAGAGAGAAGACAGAAGUGUGUGGAGAGGGAAAAUCUAUGAAACUUGCACAGAGGGCAACAAGCCAUCAAACAGUCUUCACCGUUCCUAAAGGAGUCACGACCUUUGACUUCUGUAAGAAUCGAAAUCUUUUGGUCACCGGUGGAAUGGACACGCUGUUGCGCAUGUGGAUGCCAUACGUCCCUAGGUGUGCCUUAUAGCCUGAUGAUAUCGUUUUCAUAAACUGGCAUCUCUAUGAUUCCAGUUCUUUUAACCCUCAUGUUGUGUUCCAGUUAUUUUGACACAGAGAGGAUUUUUUUUUUCUGGUAAUGUAUAAAAACUUCCCAUUGUUAUUAUUUUUCCUACCUUGUUACACUUGUGGUGUUCGCAGUCAAAAAUGACUGGCCACACAAAUUGCUUGUAAAUCUCUCGUUAUGCUCUUUAAGCACCAAACCUUGGAAUCAAUCUUUUUGCCAAUUUGUUUUCUUUUAAUUAGCA
rnacentral:lncRNA from 1 species